CAGAGACAGAGACAGAGACAGAGGAACAGAGGAACAGACAGAGGGGGGAGAGAAAGAGGGAGAGAGAGAGAUCAUAUGGCUGCAGCUGCAUACACAUGGGAAUUAUAGAAGAACCUGGGAUGCUGGCCCUCACCUUCCGCCUUGCUUUGAGACAGCUCUUUGUGCUGACUUGUGAGCUUCCAUGGCUUCUCCUAUCCCUACCUCCCAUCUCACAAUAGGACCACGGAGAUUCCAGAGCCGCACUGCUGGGCCCAGCUUUUUGUCUGUUGGAGGUGAGGGUUGGACUUAGACCUUACGCUUGCACAGUAAACACUUUACCCCCUAGCCAUCUUCCUAGACCAGCUCCAGUCUCUUCAACAUUUUUUCACCAACAUUGGAGCGCAAACCUAGGACGUCAUACAACUAUCUUUUUUCCUGUGAGUAAUGAACCUGAGAGUCUAGUUACAGCUACAGACCUGAGUUGUCUAGCAACGAUACCUCUGAGCUACAUCCUCAGCCCACUAUCUUAUCUGCACAUUUUAAUACAAAAAGGUGGGGAGUGGGGAGUAUGAGGAAAGUGAAAGAUAAAUCAAGAAGAUACAAUAAGAAGACUGUCAGGACAAGAACUCCUUCUCUGUCCAGCUUGAAACUAACCCGAAGAGUACAAGUUUGACUUGGAAAACCUGUAGUCAUCAAUAACUUACACUUUAACCUCUAGACUCUGAAGCAAUAGCCAGGCUCAAGAAAACAUAGCCUUUGGGAGGAGAAUGCAGAAAGCAGGUGACCUAGCCUGGAGCUUUUACUGCUUUGGGGUCAAAUUCCAAGUCACCUCUUCCUACACGUUCUGCUUCAGGGAGGUCUUAACUAGUUUAAGCCUCAGUUUGUUCAGGUGUGGAUCGGGUACAAUAAGGCUCCCUAGCUCACCAAACUGUGUGUGGAUUAGAGAUGGUGUAUGUAUAAAGUAUAGUUAUAUGUAAACUUACAGUUCUAUCAACAUUGGCACGGAAGACUAAAAUUACCAGGUAUUUUUCAGUAAACUGUAUAGGGCAACAAUUUAACUUCCUCUUUGAUAAAAUAAAACUAAAAAGCAAGCCA